GACGAACGCUGGCGGCGCGCUUAACACAUGCAAGUCGAACGGAAAGGCCUGCUUUCCCUUGUGGAUUGCGGGUACUCGAGUGGCGAACGGGUGAGUAACACGUGAGUGAUCUGCCCCCAACUUAGGUAUAAGCCUGGGAAACUGGGUCUAAUUCCCGAUAGGACUGCAGGGUGGUGCCUGUGGUGGAAAACGAUUUUCUAGUGGUUGGGGAUGAGCUCGCGGCCUAUCAGCUUGUUGGUGGGGUAAUGGCCUACCAAGGCGGCGACGGGUAGCCGGCCUGAGAGGGUGGACGGCCACAUUGGGACUGAGAUACGGCCCAGACUCCUACGGGAGGCAGCAGUGGGGAAUAUUGCACAAUGGGCGGAAGCCUGAUGCAGCGACGCCGCGUGGGGGAUGACGGCCUUCGGGUUGUAAACUCCUUUCGACCGCGAGGAAGCCACCUGGUUGGAAGGGUGGUGACGGUAGUGGUAGAAGAAGCACCGGCUAACUACGUG
rnacentral:rRNA from 1 species